rnacentral:lncRNA from 1 species
GGCUCAGCCUGACGGCGCAGGAAGGGGCCCUUGCCCCCUCCCGGCGGCCCCUGGACCCUGCGGUGUGGGCUCUGGUGCAGGUGGGUGGGCGGCGGAGUCCAGCCUGUGCCCCCACCUUCCUGCCUCUGAGCUGGGAGCCUCUCCUGGCACCCAGGAAGGGGGUCUGAACUCACAGUGGGGGUUAGAGAGGGCUAAGUGGGGGGUAAAGAGCGUGUCAGGCGGCUCCUUCCAAGGACACGAAGCCAGGCUCAGGUGGGACCCCUCUGCGGGGCUGUGUGACGCCAGGCAAGUCUCUGUUCCCGCCUCUGAGCCUCAGUUUCCUCAUUCGCAACGUGAGGGCACGACCGCAGGGCAGCUGGAGGGUUAGCAGAGAUUGGCGUCUGCAAAGGGCAUGGCGAGAGCCUGGCGCUCGGGUGCCCAGGGACCCCCCGCCUCGGGAGACCUGGCCGGGGGCAUCCUCCCCGUGCCUGCCCCCCACGGACCGUUGCUCCUGAGGAAGACAGGGCCGGCUCCAACGCCCGGGAAGGGAAAGUGGCCCUUCCUGCAGGGCCCUGUGGGAAAGAGUGGGAGGUCUCGGCGAGCAGGGACGCUCAGCUGACCCGCUGGAUGACGUCGAUGAGGGAAGAGAAGCAUCAACUCUGAUUUGGCUUUCUUCAUUCAUCAAGCUGGUAAAGCCGGAACCCAGAUCAAGACAGAUCUUCCCGCCCCCCGAAGCGGCCCUCGAGCUGCCUCCGGCCAGUGCCCCCUCGGCCCCCAAGGUGACAGCUUUCCUGGCUCUGUCACCGUUAGCCGCCUGCUUUGGACCGUCAGGUAAGUGGAAUCGCCGCGUGGGCUCCUUGGCCUGCGCUCGGUGGAACAUUCGUGCACGGCUCUACGGGGAACAGGCAGGGCUGGUGGGUCUUGACUUAAGCAAGUGAAUGGCCCACGUGCCCCUGACUGAGAGGGGGCGGCCGGGCAACACGGGGGGCUCAGGGCCAGUGCUCUUGUGCCGCGUGGAGGGGGCAGCCGAGCACAGCCCUGGGGCUGCAGGUGAGAACGGCCCACAGCAGCGCCUCCGUGACUUCCGGCCACCAGCGUCAGCGAGCACAGGAAUUAGCUGUCACGUUGGUUAAGUGGUGUCUUGCUGCCACUAAGAUUCAGCAAAGCCUGCUCCUGACCAGGCCUCCCUCCCCAUCACCCCUAUUUGAAGGGGACCCCCGUUUCAGGAGAGAAAAGGGCAAGUGUCUUGCUCUGCCUCGGGAGACCCCUGCCCACCCACUGGGUGUGCCAGAGCUGCCUGGGGAAGCCUGACUCAUACCCACAUCAAGCUCCAGCCCUGUGCGUUAGGAGGUGUUCUGAGAAGCCGUGUAACCCAGGCAGGCUCC